rnacentral:rRNA from 1 species
AUUGAACGCUGGCGGCAGGCCUAACACAUGCAAGUCGAGCGGAUGAAGGGAGCUUGCUCCUGGAUUCAGCGGCGGACGGGUGAGUAAUGCCUAGGAAUCUGCCUGGUAGUGGGGGAUAACGUCCGGAAACGGGCGCUAAUACCGCAUACGUCCUGAGGGAGAAAGUGGGGGAUCUUCGGACCUCACGCUAUCAGAUGAGCCUAGGUCGGAUUAGCUAGUUGGUGGGGUAAAGGCCUACCAAGGCGACGAUCCGUAACUGGUCUGAGAGGAGGAUCAGUCACACUGAGACUGAGACACGGUCCAGACUCCUACGGGAGGCAGCAGUGGGGAAUAUUGGACAAUGGGCGAAAGCCUGAUCCAGCCAUGCCGCGUGUGUGAAGAAGGUCUUCGGAUUGUAAAGCACUUUAAGUUGGGAGGAAGGGCAGUAAGUUAAUACCUUGCUGUUUUGACGUUACCAACAGAAUAAGCACCGGCUAACUUCGUG